UACCACAUUCAUGAAGAUGGAAAACAAGAGUCCUGAUGCUCAUUUCUUAACAAGUACUGUUUUUCUCACUGAGACGAUUCUGGCCUCAUAAAGAUGUUUGGAGUGAUGACAUUUUUCUAGUUUCUGAGUGUUUAUAUAGUUUCUGAGGUAAACACAUUCAUGGAAGAACCUGGCCCAGACAAUAUGGCCCUGGUAUAGAAGAGCUACAACCUCACUUGGAGCUUGUUUGAAAUACACAUUUUGAGGCUCUGCUCAAGACCAAAAUGUCAGAAUUACUGGACUCAAGGGUUCGGUUAUCUCUGUUUUGAGAUAUGAUGUCCUACAGUCUAUGUUGGGACACACUCGGGUUGGAAGUGGCAAUGAAGAUACUACUUUUUGGUGUUGGAUUUGCUAUGCAUUUGAAUCACCAGUGGAUCUGAAAACAGACAGAACACACUCUGCUCUAGGAUUACUACUUCUGUGUUUACAUCGGUGCCUGCUGCAAACUCUGAAGUCUUUUGAGUGCCAGCUCAAGAUUUUGAAGCAUUUUCCCAACACGAUGGAAUAUCCCCAAGCUUUGUAAGCAAGCUGUUUCCUAAGGAGUAAAUAA